UACAGAGGGGGCAAGCGUUGUUCGGAAUUACUGGGCGUAAAGGGCGCGUAGGUGGCCUUCUAAGUUGAACGUGAAAUCCCUGGGCUCAACCCAGGAACUGCGUCCAAGACUGGGAGGCUUGAAUCCGGGAGAGGGAUGCGGAAUUCCAGGUGUAGCGGUGAAAUGCGUAGAUAUCUGGAGGAACACCGGUGGUGUAGACGGCUUUCUGGACCGUAACUGACGCUGAGACACGAAAGCGUGGGUAGCAAACAGG
rnacentral:rRNA from 1 species